AUUGAACGCUGGCGGCAGGCCUAACACAUGCAAGUCGAGCGAGUGGCGCACGGGUGAGUUAUGUCUGGGACACUCCCUUAUGGAGGGGGAUCACUACUGGAAACUGUCUCUUAUACCGCAUUCCCUCGUGUGUCCACAGAUGGGAUUAGCUAGUAGGUGGGGUCAAGGCUCACCUAGGCGACGAUCCCUAGCUGGUCUGAGAGGAUGACCAGCCACACUGGAACUGAGACACGGUCCAGACUCCUACGGGAGGCAGCAGUGGGGAAUAUUGCAAAAUGGGCGCAAGCCUGAUGCAGCCAUGCCGCGUGUGUGAAGAAGGCCUUCGGGUUGUAAAGCACUUUCAGCGAGGAGGCGUUACUCGCAGAAGAAGCACCGGCUAACUCCGUGCCAGCAGCCGCGGUAAUAC
rnacentral:rRNA from 1 species